UGAUACUGCUGGGAUCAUCAUUCUGCAUGCUGAUAGAGUACUGCCUUAUCCCACCCAACCUCCUCUCCUUCUCUAAUCUCACUGCCUCCUCCUGCUCCUCCCAAGGAACUUUAAAAAAAAUUAUUUGCAGAUCAAGUGGGAAUUAUAUAAGGAAGGGGGCUCUUUGCAAGCUUAGAUGGUCCACAAAUGAGAAGGAGGAAAAGAUGGAGCUGCAUAUCUUAGAGCACAGGCUGAAAGUAGCAAGUAUAGCCAAGGACGGUAUCCAGUUGUUUACCCAUGGAUUAAUCAAACUUGCUUUUCUGCCGUCAAAGACGAGGUGCAAGUUCUUUAGCCUAACUGAGACUCCUGAAGACUACACCAUUAUUGUGGAUGAAGAAGGAUUUAAGGAACUGCCUAGGUCGGAUCUCCUGAGCGUGGCAGAUGAGACAUGGCUGGCAUUAAACGUUGUCUCUGGCGGAGGCAGUUUCUCCAGCUCACAGCCCAUUGGAGUCACCAAGAUUGCCAAAUCAGUGAUUGCACCCCUGGCAGAUCAUAAUAUCUCUGUGUUCAUGCUUUCCACAUAUCAAACAGACUUCAUCUUGGUACGGGAAAGAGAUUUGCCAUUAGUUAUGCACACUCUCUCAGCAGAAUUUACCAUCCUCAGGGUCGUAAACGGGGAGCCAGUUGCUGCUGAUCAUUUAGGAAUCACCAACGGAUUUGUGAAGCCAAAGCUAGUUCAAAGGCCAGUCAUUCAUCCACUGUCCAGUCCCAGCAACAAGUUCUGUGUAACGAGCUUGGACCCUGAUACCUUACCGACUGUGGCUACACUCCUCAUGGAUGUCAUGUUUUAUUCCAAUGGCAUGAAAGAUUCCGCAGUAGGCAGUGAUGAAAAUGGUCAUAUUCGUUUCUUCUCCUUCUCUCUCAUUGAGGGCUAUAUCUCCUUAGUGAUGGAUGUGCAGACACAACAAAGGUUUCCAAACAAUCUAUUGUUUACGAGUGCAUCAGGAGAGCUCUGGAAGAUGGUUCGGAUAGGUGGGCAGCCCCUAGGAUUCGAUGAAUGUGGAAUCGUUGCCCAGAUUGCAGAGCCUCUGGCUGCCGCUGAUAUCCCUGCAUACUACAUCAGUACAUUUAAGUUUGAUCACGCCUUGGUAAGUUUCAAAACAGCCUGAUUACAAAAGAGCAGACUGCAGUGUUAUUUUCUGGACGAAAAUUAGACCUGUCACUUUGCAUCACUGUUGCUUCUUAUAACUAUUUAUUCCGCUUUAACCCAGCAUGGAUCUGGCAAGAUUCUGAAGAGCUUGCUUGUUGAAUGUGAACUGUGUGAAGCUGAUGUUACUGACAAGGUUAAUGUGCUGAACCAUGGCCAGUUCAUUAGAGUAAAAUGUUGUUUUUCCUUCUGUUUGCAUGCCCGCUCUCUGCUUCGCUGCCCCUUAGUAUCGAGACUGAUUUAUCAGCAGAUUGAUUAUUGCUAAUUGUUUUAGUCUGUUAAAGCAUAAAGCUGAAGAAAUGAAGCUUGCAAAUUUUUUUGCUGUGCUUGCUUUUUUGCCUCCCUUUUAAGUGCAGAGCUGUUGAACUGUGUCCCCUGCAGAUAGUGCGAGGAAUUGUUAUUCAUCCAUAUCCUGUUCUGAUCCAUGGUACACAUUUCUGAACAAUGUCCCUGCAAAUUUUCCCCAUUAAAGCAAUGUUUAUUCGGCUUAGCAAUGCGCUGUUUAUUUUCCAGUUGUGUUAGUAAGCCUAAUAUUUGUUUGAAGAAUUCUAUGUCCUUACUCUUGGCCCUAGAUUUCAAUAUUUUUAACAGUAUUUCUGUUGCAGUCUUUUUCUGCAUUAAUAUCAGAUUUCAGAAGAAAACUUGUCUCACUGAAUGAAGUAUCUGUUCUGUCAGUCUGACAACAGGUUUUAUACUUGAGUAAUUUUAUUACAAGUAAUCUGACCGUUUCUGAGGAAAGGAGGGCAAUCUCACCAUAUUCAAAAUCUAUGCUUAUCUUUAUUUUUUUUCUCAAUUUUCUCCCCUUCUGUAAGGUUUUCAUGCAGAGCUCAGUUAAGUGGAGUUGGCAGUCAUUAGCACCUCACCAGCUCUUUGUGCCUCAUGCAGUUUCAACAAAUGGAGGGGCCCCUUGACCAGGCCAGAUCCUGCCCACAGUGAAGCCACCAGCAGAGGGCAGAAUUUUGAGUCAGCCACGGGACUAUUGGCUGCAGAGCCAAUGGGAGUCCCAUGUCAUCCCUUUUGGGCAGGCCCCACAGAAUUAAGUGCCAAUCGGGCACUCAUCUAGGCACUGUUGGGUCCUUCCCUGGGUAGCGAGAGCUACAGGCCUCUGGUUGCUCAGUAGCACCACCAGGCAUGAGGUUGAUGCUGCUGCUCAGGCCCCUACCCAAGACCCAAGAUCAUGGAAGAGACCCUGUCCACUGGCCGUGUAUAGCCGGAGGGCGAUCACAGGCUGGGAGCCACUGGGGAAUUGUGGAGAAGGGCAGCAGUUAGCAGCAGUGUUGGGUGGGGUAACUCAUAGCAUGCUCACCCCCAGCCUCAUUCUUGAUCAGUCCUUGAUUGCCUUUGAAUGAUUUCCCAUUUAGUUGGUGGGAAGCAGGAAGGCUGGCUGUGGACUGUGGUAGGGGCAAGCGGCCAUUCUCCCACUGAAUUGUUUGACUGCAUGCUUCACUGAGCUCAUGGCUGGCAAGGGCAUGAAUUUCCAGCCGCGGAGACCUCACUGUGGUGAACUGUGCUAGGAAACCAGUCGGGCUUUCCCUCCCUAACCCUGGGCUAUUCAAUUCUGUGAGGAGCUUCCUAUACUCCCCCUGUCUGAGAACACCAACACAAUGCCUUGAUGAAAUGCAUACUCGUGUAUCAAAGACAGAGAAGGAGAUGAUCCGACUAAUCUAUAGAAUAAGGCAAGUAUGGUUUAUUAUGGAAUUAGACAAUUUUUGUUUGGUUUUCCUAAUACUUUCUCUCUUUCCGAGUUUGAGAAUUAAACUAACGUGCAGAUUUGGAUUACUAUCAGUCAGAACUAUUGUUCUGUGGCUCUCACAACAGUACAAGGUAAAACUAGCUUUUUCAUAGAUACGUGAAAAUCUGAACAACUUGGAAGGACUUCUGUUUGAAUCUUAAUUUGUGUUACUUUCUCUGUUAGCUGAGACAGCAUUUGCAUGCAACACUGAAUGGGCAGCAGUACAGCAAAGGUAGGAAUUGACCAGGCUUGAUGGAAAAUGAGAAGAAACCAUUGUGUUCACACGAGGCUAUGCAGCUCAUCAAGUCAGUGCAACUCUCCAUUCAGAAUUCCAAUCAGCCCUGCUCCUACUCCUGCCCUACAGUCCUUUCCCCUCUAUCACCGCCCUCCUGGGCAACGCAUACUGUAUCCAAGAUGUCCAUACUGUAUGGAUCCAAUGUAUCCAUACUGCUUUUCAAAAUAAGUUCUUCCCCACAUUUCUUGACAUCACUCGCCCAAACCUUAAAUCCACGUCUUGUAGUCUUUGUGCCAGUAAUUAAUGAGAGCGGCUUUCUUUUGUCUAAACUUUUGUUUGCCUCCAUUGGAUAGAUGGCAUUUCAGUACUUAAUGUGUGGCCUGAUGCAUGAAGAAUGGCUACUUGUGUGAGAUGGUGGUGGGCUGACAGUGCCCUCGUUAAGGUGUACACUAUUAGGAGAGGAGUCCCAUGUUGAAUGGCACUGACCCUGCCCAGGUGAAGUAAGAAAAUAUCUACUCAGCCCGCAUGCUGUUAUUCUGUCAAGUUGAACCAGUCAGACUCUGCUUUCAGGUGAAACUGGAAUUGGCUCAAUCUCAAACACUGAGGGAAAAGUUUUAUUGCUUGAUUGGUGGUCACAAAAGAGGCAGGACAAACCUGGCAUGCUAAGGUUUAGGACAGACAAAUCCUCUUCAAGGAAAUGUGAAAAGGCUUGCAGUGUCUAAUUUUGUGUAGUGGUGAAUGGUGUCACCCAAUAGCAUACAAAGAAACAAAAAUACUCUUGUGUCUGUUUUGCCUCUAACAUCUCCAAGUCAAAUAGUCACCAAUAAUGCACCACCAUAUUAAUAAUCUGCCCAUAAUAUCAUGGUGAAUUUAAAGUUAAAAGAUUAGUUAAUUGUUACAAUAUCAUACCUCACUUGCUGUUCUAAUCCCUGUUUUAACCCACCUCAUUGUUUCUAAGCUUUAUAAAACAAUUUGAGAGCUGCUUUAUGUGUAGAAGAGCAUGAAGUACCGCAUGCCUAGAGCUAUUGUUAACGUUUCUAAGGUUUUGGAGUAGAUCUGUAGCUCGGGCUGUGGGUGUUGAGCUCGGCGAGCAAACCAACCUAUUGUUAACUUUGUAUUCUGCUCCCGUCAUUUCUGACAUCACCUAAUCACUAUUGAGAUACGGUUCCACACCUGUCAAUCAUCCAGCAGUAUAUUGCCCAAAUGGCUGUUGACUGGAUGCCUUGACAAUGAAUACCUCCAGGCACCCAAACAUCAUUACUGAACCCACUUAGGUACUCAGCUGCUCUCCACAAGAGCUUUUCCCUCAGGAUAAUCUGUGUAACCAUUCCAAGAAGGAAUACUGGAUAACUUUUCUUUCCCUUAGCCAAGGUACUUUGAAUCACUUUGGUGCCAUUUCAAUUAAUUCACUACGGACCAGAGAUCAAACUCAUGACCUUCCUAAACAAUAUGGAUCAGAGACCUUUCAUCUUGAGUCAACGAAGGGGCACCAUUAACUAAUGAUGUAUUUUACAUGUAAAAACUGUGACUGGAUUAAAACAGACCAGCGCAGUAAGUGCCCUAAUAUGUUUCUGUUUUCUUAUCUAUUCUCUUCUUACAUUCCAAGGUACCUGAAGAAAAUAUCAAUAGUGUGAUCAACGCUCUCCAAGUGAGUCAGAACAAGAAGCAGUAGCUGGGAAACUGAGGUGCUGGCAGCUUCAUCUUCACACAGUAGUCAAAGUUGAAACUCAGAUUUCAAGAAGAAACCUUUGGGUGUUUGUAAAGGAGCAGAAAGCCUGUGAAAACUAAUGAAAGCUGGUGGUUUUUUGAAGUUUGUUCCCAAAGUGAAUGUUACCAUUGUGUUCUUUGUGUGAGCUGUGUUACAUUGUACUGGUAAAGUCAAACCAUCUCUUUCUACUCAUGUUUUCCCCCACUGUGAAGGUGGUGAUUGGCUGUUGUCAAUGAAUUAGUUGGAUUAGUUAUCUCAUGUAGCACAAAGCUGAUUUCUCAAGUUCGGGGACAGAAGGGUCUGUUGUUAAGUGUAGAGAUGUCAAAUUUUGGGAGUGAUCACAUGGAGGUAAUCUAAUUUUGGGUCAGCUUAUGAUAUCACAAAUUGUGAAACUAAAGCUGGCAUCCUCUUCAGAUAACAGUCCUUUAAGUUACUCUCUGAUAGCUGUCACUCCGUUUAAAGUGUCGUUUCAUUUUAUUUGGAAAGUUCCUACACAUCUAGGCAGGUUGAUGCGUGAUGGCAUCCUCACUGUUGCAACAUUUUUAUUGCUACUACCUUGAGUAGUAAACUGCAGUUCACUCUAGAAAGUCCAGAUCUUAUUCUGUGGGAACAUAAACAGUGUAGCAUGCCAGCAAUUGCUGCCGCCCUUCCUUAUUCUCCCCUGUCUCAAAGUGGAUACUAAAUGUAUUUGGCAAGAAAGAUUAAUACAGGAAUCGUUGAGGCAAGUGACCAAAUAAUGUUCGCCCUUGUGAGGAGGUCUAAGUUUCCACAGUUCCAUUGAUGAUUAACUUGCUUUCUAUAUUUCAUGCUUGCACCAAGGUUGGUCACUCCCCUUAUAAAUAUUAUUCAGUGCUUCACAGAGAAAUGAAAAGGGAUUUAUUUUGGACACAUUAAACAAGCUAUUCCCAACACUCUGUUUUUCUAAUACUAUUGGCAAACUUAUGUCUUGACAUCCCUACAAAGAGAAAACAGACAGUACAGGAUCCAAGGAGAGGAGUUUAUCCUUUUUAAGCCACCUGAAGAACAAUUCCAACCAAAUUAUUGUCACAAUGUCUUUGAGCUGCCAGUCUGAUUUGAUUUUUACAUUUAACUGCUUUCCAGCAGGGUUGCUACGCUCCUUGCUUAACAUAUGGUCAGGUGUUCCAAUGACAGUUUAGCAUUAAAAUAGCUCUUCAAGACUUCUCAGCAGGAGUUAUUGUUCAAGGAAUGUAUCAUAAAGGAACAUAUCAGAACUGAGUCAUAUAUGAGCAGUUUCAGAAUUUUGAAAUACAAACAGAGAAGGAAAAUGUCUAUAACACAACAGUUCCGUUUUAAUUGCAGACCAUAUCUUCAGUGGUGGCAAGAAACACUGAUCAGACCUACUUAAACAAUGAUUUGAGGAUUUUGUUAACUUGUAAGCCAUCACACCUGUUCUUUUAGCAGCCCUUCAUUCAGUCAUUCAUGGCUCACCUCAAGUUUUUCUGUCACUUGUGAAAACCUCAAUUAGAGGAGGAGAGAAUUGGCAAAUUUUGUUUUUUUUUAAUUGUUUUCUUCUCUCUUUUCCUAAUUCUGUGAUUGAUGUGUUUUACUAAUUUCUGUGUCAAAUACGAAUCAUCACAUUGGCACUUGUAUCUCCACCAUAUCACUCAUGUCCUGUUGCACUGCUAGGUGCCAACUGCACGUGAAGAAGGAAGAAUGUAGCACUGUUUAUUUUUCAUAUACUAAUUUGCACACAGUUGCCUGAGUGAGCCUGAAGGCUGACACUUUGACGAUUUAAUCGAUUUAUACAGGCAAACUCCUAUAUCUUCUAUAAUUUCCUACUUCAUUAUUUAUACACAAAUUAUGAAGUAAAUAGGACUUAACUAAAUUGUACUGCUGCUUUCGUUGGUGUAUCCACUCAUGGUCUUUUUUUUAAAGCUGAAAACAGAGGAAGGAUUUUUAGAUUCAAAAACCUUCUGUGGUGAAUCAGCCACCAGAAGUAAAGAUAAGAUUGUGAAACUGCCUCUCCUGGUGCUGAAGUGCCUGCCCAGUGAUGCUGUGAUUGCUUUAUUAGAGAAUAUUAACAAAGCUAAGACAUUUGCUAAUAGAUAAAUCCGAAGGUAUGUGUUGAAAUUUAAUCUCAAAAUUAAAUUUAACCUUCUUACAAUAGUUAUUAAACUGAAUUCUUAAUUAAUUUCAAGCCUGGUUUACAGAUGGAAAAUAUUUUCCUGAUUAGCAGAUACAGCAUUUUGACAUUUUAUAGCUUUUACUGAAACUUUUAAGUUCUCUUGAAAUUCAGUUGAAAUAGUAUUUGCAAAAAGUUUACAAGUUUGUAAUUUUUGAACUGAAAUUUCUUGCUUGCUAUUAAUGGUUUUACAAAUCUCAUUAUAUUAUAAGCACUACUGUUGUGUUUAUUUUCCAAACUUGUAGUCAGUUUUUUUUAGUUCUUUUUUGCAUCUAAGGACACUAAUGUGUUUUUUUUAAAUAAGAGAUUUAAAUAGGUAAUUGAGAAUCCGUGCAGUCCUUUAAAUGAUAAAGCUCAAUUAACCUCUUAACUAGAGUCAACUAAACUAAUUGAACUCAGCCUGAGAACAUCCUGAUUUCAAACCACCUCACUCGGUUGGCACUGAAUGCUAAAAUCGCCCCAGAGCGCUGAUAUCCCUACUGCUAUUCCUGAUCUAGCACCUGAAACUAAUCUACAAAUCAAAGCAAUCCCUCUCUCCAGGGGCCUGCUUGCUGUCCAAUGGUGGUGUCCCUACCUCUGAGUUGGGAGGCCUGGAUUCAAGUUCCAGAGUUGUGUAAUAACAUCUCUGAUCAGGUUGAUUACAAAAAAAUCUCUCUCUAUGCUCCUUAAAAUGGAUGUUACUUCAUUCAUUUGGAUUAGAACUCCAUGCAUUUCCACUCCUGACUUCCCAUUCGUACUAGAUGAACAUAUGAGGCUCUACUGAUGAUGUUACUGUCCUUUUGUUUAUAAGCUACAACAGUAGAGGCUUCUAGCUCCUUUAUUAAUGCUGCAGCACUACCAGCUGACAGUAUAAGAGCUCGAUUGAUAUUAGACUAUUUUUUGCAUUGUUAUCUGAGUCCUAAGUAGCACAGAAAAAGUUGCACAUCACAGCCCUGUCUGACUGACAAGGCAGACCCUAGAUUCACUUAGACUGACUUACGGUUUCAACAAUAUCAUUCAAAUUCCCGAUAUACCAUCUUGUCAGCUGUUUUGCAAAGUGCUGCAUGAUAUUUUCCACUAGCUUUUAUUUCCUUGCCUUUAUAGUUUCUGUUCUAAUAUAAUUUUUCAUCGAUGUCUGACUGACAAGGCAGACCCUAGAUUCACUUAGACUGACUUACGGUUUCAACAAUAUCAUUCAAAUUCCCGAUAUACCAUCUUGUCAGCUGUUUUGCAAAGUGCUGCAUGAUAUUUUCCACUAGCUUUUAUUUCCUUGCCUUUAUAGUUUCUGUUCUAAUAUAAUUUUUCAUCGAUGCGUAGUUCUUUCUUAUCCUAUUUACUUAGUGUCCAACUAGGAGUUAAACAUGACCAAUGAUCUCAUGAUACAGUCUGGUUGAAGUCCUGGCUGUAUUAUCAAAUUGGAACUUCUUAAGUGUGAAGUUUACAACUGCUUUCUUUUUGUAAUAUUUCUUUCCACCUAUACACUUGAAGACACAAGCCUUACUUUACUCAGAGGAAAUAAGACAAUGAAACCGCAGAACUAUAUAUUACUACUAGUCCUCAGUUUGCUCUUCUAACAAGUCCGACCUUCAUAUCCUGCUCUCUGGUUAUUUGCCAUUCUGAAAAGGCUGCCAGAAUUCUAUCUGGACGAAAGAAUUGGCUGAGACAUCAGAAUUCUUUUUAGCUAUUUGUAUUGUAUCUGUCCUCAUUUCUGUAAAAUUACACUUCUGUACUUUUAGGAUCGUGGAUGGGAAGCUGUCAUUCGUCCAGCGUUUUCAUUUUCCCAUGGGGAACCCCAUUCAUUGCACCAAAUAAUUAAGGCUUCAUUGUAUCCCUAAUGGAAUAUGCAUUCCUGCUGAAAUAAAAACAAGAAAUGCUGGAACUGCUCAGCAGGGGAGUGAAUGUUUCAAGUUGGACCUUUAUGUCUGCAUUUUCUCUCCUCACAUGCUAUGUGUCCUGUUAAGUAUUUACAGAAUUUCCUGAUUAUAUUUCAGAUUCCAAGUAUCUGUAGUAUUUUGCGUCUAUAAUAAUGUGUUCACCCCAGCCUCUUACAGGAUUGCAGACCAUAGCGUAGUGCUUUGUAGAGCAGCUAGAAAGAGACUGUUAAAGCUCAUUGAAAUGAACCACUGAAAUAUGUGAUGUUUUAGUUGCAGGGAAGUUAGGAAGUGCUCAACCUUGGCAGACUUGGAGUAAACCUGCAGCUUAGAUCCAAAGGAAAUUAUGGCGUUUGUGUUGAAACAGAGAAAUGUCUUUUAGUGACAAAAAUAUUUUGAACACUUAGUCAAGUUUUAAGAAUUUAGCUAUUGAUCAUCCUAAAAAUAAAUCAUCAAAAUGCUAUUAGUGAAAGACGUUAUUUAAGUUUCUAGUUCUGUGAAGUAAACCUAACCAGACUAAAAGGUUUGGUGGCAGUUUCAGUUGACACAUUUUAUUUUGUAUUAAUUCAUGGGAUGUGAACUUUGAUGACCUGGGAUAGCAUUGAUAGCUCAUUCCAAAUUGCUCUUGGGAACGUUGUGGUGAGCUGAUGCCUUCAACUGCUGCAGUUGGCAGGAGCUAUUGGUACACACUGCUGUUAGGAAGGGAGCUCAAGGAUUUUAACCCAGCAGUUAAGGAAUGGAGAUACAUUUGCAAAUAAGCAUGGUGUAUGGUUUGGAGGGGAAUUUGCAGGCGGUGGUGUUCCCAUGUGUCUUCUCUUACCUUCUAAAAUGGUAGCGGUGUCUGUUUUGGAAGGUGCUGCUGUAAGAGCCUGGAUGAGUUACGACAGUGCAUCUUGUAAAUGGUACACAGUUUGACCACUGUGCCUUGAUGGUGAGGGGAGUGAAUGCUGAAGGUAGUGGAUCGGGUGCCAAUCAAGCAGACUGUUUUGUAAAAGUUGUUAUUGCCAUGAGUAUUAUAGCACCAGCAAGAAUAGUUUUAACUAAGGUAGCUGGAUAAGCUAGAGAUGUAUUACUUUGCCUUCUUUAUGCAUGCUAAUCUAACACAUAAUGCCCAGUGUCAUUUUCAGCUUUCCUGCAGUCACCUGACCAACUCAAUUUUUAGUCCAAUUUCUAGUACAUUGUGACAGAUAAAGCAACAUUUGUAAGCCAUUCCGAGCACAGAUAAAAUACCUGUGUUGUAUAGCUGUGGUUGCAUUACCUGUAUGAGAAUAGUAUCUAUACAGUAUGACUGCAGUUGUACUGUGAUCUGUGGUGUUCAGAAAGUGAUAUUGUUGUCGGAACUUGAUGUUACCAUAUUGCUGGCCAUGUUCAACACUUAUGCUUUACUUAAGAGGAUUUAUUGCAUUAUUUUAAUCUUACUGAUUGUAUCAGUAUCUCAAAUGAGCAUCACUAACUAGAUUGAUGCCAGAAUUGCAGGUACAGGUGUAUAAUCAGUGAUUAAUGUGCUUGUAAAUGAUGCUAUGGAGGGAUGAGAAACAAAUUCAAAUUUUAAUUUCAUUACAAUUUCCCAUUUAUUAUUUUAAUUGUCCACUACUACAUAAUCCUGUCUACCUGCAGUGUGGAGGGAAUCUUCCAGAGGCCCAUUGUAUUCUAUGGAAUGUACAACACAAAAACAGAUCACUCGACCCAUUUAGCACAUGCUCGGGUUUAUAUUAUACACCUUCCACCUUCCAGCAUUACAUUUUCUUCGCCUUGCUUUCAUGUGCUUAUCUAGUUUUGUCUUAAAUAAAUUGAUAUUAUUCAACUCAGCUACUACAUGUGGUUACCUAAACCAUACUUUGCUGUACAGGAAGGGAGGCAUUCCAAGGUUUGAAUCUGUAUUUCUCUAGCACCCUUAGAAGUUGUAAGUGCAAGAUACGGUUGCUGAUCAUCACCUAAUAUUCCCACUGAGCUGUCCAGGUACCAAACUCACAAAGUAUCGCACACUAUUGUUCUGGCAUAAAUUGCUCAUGUACACAACUGCACAAAAAGGGAACUAUGCACCAGAUUUGAAUUUUAAUGGGAGCAUCCUUCCACCUCAUUCACUGGCAGUGAUUAGCAAUUGUGUACUGUUGUUGAGCAUUGGUAAAUAUUACAGACUACUUGUCAACACAAACAAAAACAAAGUUGCUGGAAAAGCUCAGAAGGUCUGGUAGCAUCUGUAGGGGAGAAAACAGAGUUAACGUUUCGGGUCCGGUGACCCUUCCUCAGAACUCAGCCUUGUGACCUACAUCUAAAGACAUAUAGUCUGUAGAACUGCAUUUCAUUGAUCAGCUCAUGUCAGUUUCGUCAGUUUGUUUUAACAGUUUUUCUCUAGUGUAUUUUUAUGAUUUUAAUUUGAUCAGUUAAGCAGAUACCUGAUCCAAUAAUCGUCCUCUAACUGGGAAGAGACACCAACAUGUGAAACAGUAUUCAUUUCUCUUCAACUAUUAAUUAAUUAUGUAUUGUUCACAUUUUUAUCAUUUAAUACAGAAAAUAAUCUGGGCAGAGGUCAGUUUUCGAACACACCCUGCAAGCUUGUUAAACUUCAGUUUCUUCAGUUGUAAUUGCUACACAGCUGAGUCACUAGAAACCUCAUUCUUUUAAGACCUGAAGAAUACACUAUGUACUAUACCCUUAGGUCUUUAUUCCCCAUUACCAAAAUCACCCAUUUCUUUAGAGUUCAGCAAAUCUCGUCAUUGAGCCUUUGACCCAGUAUAACUUAGUCCAGUGGCAGAUACAGGAGGUGUAAUAUUUGUAUGCAAUCCUGACAAAUAUAUAUUUGGUGAAGGAAUCAACCAAAUCCAGCGGAUUAUGAGCAUCAAAUUAGAUUACAGUGCUCUUCACUGCGCUGUGCUUCUGCAGUUGAUUCUACCUCAAAAGUAACAAGUGCUAUGUUGAAUGGCUCUUUAAUUCUCACAUAUUGUAUGUUCUUAUCAUUAUUCAAUUAAACAUGGCUGGGUAAGGUUCCUCAAAUGAUUACACAAAGAGAUUCUGCCAUUCCAUGUUAACAUGAUGAAAUCAGAAGAUCAUACCUAUGUGCAUUUACACUGUUAGAAGUCACACAACAGGAGAUUAUGGUCCACCAGGGUUAUUUGGAAUCACACAAACUUUCGGAGUGCAGGCGCUUCUUCAGCUGUGCCCCGGAAGCUUAUGUGAUUCCAAGUAAACCAUGUGACUUUUGAUUUUGUCCACUCCAGUCCAACACCAGCACCUCCAUAUCACUUACACUGUUGCCAUUAUGACCCCUUCAUCCAUGGGAAGAGUAUAGUUCCUCUUCCAAAUCUAACCUGAUUCCUUGCUCUUGGAUUACUUUGAACUUUCACAAAGAAUCAAAACUUGCACUUGGGCCCUCAAGACUUCCCAAAGUGUUCUACAGCUGUUGAACUUAUGAUAGAUUUGAGGUAGAGUUUCUAGAGGAAUAAUAUAAGAUUUGGAGUAAGUCAUUCCACUUCCUAGGCUUACAUGAUGAUCCCAUUGGAUUCAAACGGUGCCAAUCAGUUUCUGGCAGGAAAAGGCCUAGCAGCCUAUUAUCAUCUGUUGCCUUUCAGACAAGUGGCAGGAUGAAAUUCAAGGAGAGUUCCAUAGGCUGGAGGUGAGUGGAGUCCAAAGUAUUGGAUCCAUGAGACCUCCCAAGUAAGGUUUUAUGGACAUUUCUGUCCUUUCCACGAGCUGUCGAUGCAAUCCAAGAUGGCAAAAAAGCCAUUUUAAUGUCCCACGCAAAUCCCAAUUAAAUUGCCAUCAGGCUACAAUUGACAUCACAGGAGUCCAAAUUUAUAAGACAUGUUAGCUACUUCAGAUGGGCAUGUUUGCACUGCGUAUUAAUACCAGCAAUGGCAGUAACAUGUUCCACAUUCAUUUUUAACAGCCAUUCACCCAAUUUCUAUCACGGUGGGUAACCAUUAAAAUGGCCCCCCUAGAAUUUAAUUCUGAAUAGUCAUGCAUAAAGUAGACACAAUGUAGGACUAUAGACCUUGACCAUAAAUUAGUACAGUUAUUUCUGCUAUAAUGUAUGUUUUGUUAAUGCGAAUUGGCUGUAAAACGAUUGAUGAUUAGUAGAUGCUGUUUGGACAAUGCAAGCUUUCUCCAGUACAAGUAUAGUGAUUGUGCUAUGGCAGUUUUCUAUAGCGCGAGAUCCCACAAGAAUGUAACUAUCAUUUAUAGGAGAACAACUUGUAAGUGUAGAUAAAGGAUUUAAACCCAAUUCAUUCUCUAGGUAUGUGGACCUAUUGGGCUUUGAUCAAUCUGUUGUUGAGAAUUCUUUGUAGUUGGCCAUUGUGCUGUGAAAGGGAUGUUGAGAAUUAAAAUUGAUGUUUAUCCUUUAAUCCUUACAUAGGAUUUGAAAUUAGUGCUUCAGAAACUCACAGUGCCCUCCGUAAUCCCAUGGCUUGUAUGGAUUUAAUACUACUUUUCUGUAAGAACCCCUUUUAUUGGCCAGAAAGAGCUUGCUGUACUUUAUUGCAUUAACUAUUUAUCUGAUUAAACAUGCACCUGACCUGCAAAUAGGAUGAGCAUUAUCUCUAAUGCCAAUUCCUGCCCAGUGUAGUUGGGGUGUUAUUUUGAUGAAGAGGUGACAAUGAUUUAAUUUUGUUCAGUACACUGGAAGCAAGAGUUGGGUCGUCAAUACAGUCUGGCUCUCUUUUUAAAUUCUCUCAAUUUUGUUUCAGUUUUUCAGACUACAGUAUUUUUUCUGUUUGCCAACUGCCCACUUGUUGUUUUGAUUGAAUGUAUGCAUUGCUGAAAUAGUGAUGAUUCUUCAAAAGUAAUGGUUAUCUAUAUGCAAUAUCUCCCAUACUUCCCCAUUCUAAAUAUUCCCUGGAUUUUCCAUAGUUAAGGUAGAGUAGUUCAUAACAAUAAUGUUAUUAAUGUUCUUCUCAUUUAUACUUGGUUUUUCUCAGUGAAACACAUACAAAGAGGUGCAUUUUUGUGUAAGAAGACAUUUUGUGUCCUGUUUCUAUGCUGUUGAGAAUAGGACUUUCUUAACCUACUAGCUGCAUUCCCAAAUCAGGAAAUAGAUGACAGCAGGCAUUAUUGGAAAGUGUUGUGUAGUAUGAAUUUGGCCAAAGAUCUAUUUAAAAAUAGGUUUCCUGUGAUUUUUAUUCUGAAAGCUACUAACUGUGUAAAGUGUGAAUUUGAUUCAUGAUAUUGAACGUGAGGAUUGAAAAACUACCUGUUAAUGUAAUCAAAUAAUUUAAUAAUGACCAGUUACUCAAAAGUAACUUAUUGACCUGGGAAUCAAUAUUAUUACUUAUUUAAAACAUGUAAUUAUAUUAGCAGUUUAGAAAUUGUAAAAUUUGUGAUAAUCGUGAUACAGCAGUAUCUGGAGGGAAGGGGGACAGGAAAAAUUCAAAUAAACAUUCUGUAAUUCAAUUAAGUCGACAAUGUUGCAAGCUCCUUGUUACCUUCAAGGGAUUCUUGUUAGAUCGAGUUAGGUCAUCCAUCGCAAAAGUAUUUAGUUAAUGAUGGUAUGGAAAAAUAUACUUAGUUACUUGUUGCAACCCCCAGAGCUAUGAUAACAUUUUCUGUGGGGUUUUCUUCGUUUUGCGUUCAGUAGUGACUAAUUUGCUCUGUGUGUUUGAGAAAGCGGAUGAUAGGCUGGUGAGAUUCUAACAUGGGAUUUGAAACAUGAUGGGUAUUGAACAUCUCAUUGGAUUGCAUUGUUCAGGCAGGUUGAGGUUAGACAACCUCAUCAGUACGCCCCACGAGUAGGACUAAUACGAUACCGUUUAAAAUUCUGGUAACCAAUGUGAGCUCAUUUAGUUUUAAUUGUAUACCUGUCUCUUCGUUACAAUUUGAAUAUUUUUAAUGCACUUAUUCUUGCAUGGAAUUUUAAUAUUAUUGAAAGAGUGUUAUAGUGUUGAGGUAGAACUUAGAAAUAAUCUACAAUAUCCCACAUGGAAAAGAAGUAGAUCAUUAUUAUUGCGUAUAUUUAGGCUUUGGUGGCUACCCUUCACAUACAUCUCCUUAUAAAUUAAACCAGUGCUGAGAUAGUUAUUGAAUGAGGUCAGGUAAAAAAGUGUGAAGGUGACAAUGGUGUCACUUUCAACCUAAGUGGGCAGUAGUGGAUUGGGCACAGAUGUAAAUAUAGUAAAAUGUGAGGCU